GAGUCUGCCAAAGCCUUGCCUUCAGGACCUGCUCCCAGCCUCCAGUGGCUGAAUGCCCUUUGUCGAGCAAGGAGGAAUUCUGGUGCCAGGUGCAUUCCUGCUCCUAGGAGCUAAGGUGCCCCUCAGAAACGCCACACUCCAAAAGAGAUUGCAGAUUAGCAUUUGUGAGCACUGACCAUGAUGGGCAGACAGGAAGAGUGACCAGAAGCAGAGUCGCCCAUGCGAGGGACCUCAGUCUAUCCAAACUGGAGCCUCCUUCCUGCCAGCACUCCCCCACUCCCCACCUCUACCUCCCAGGUAGUCUCACCCAGUCACUCAACACCUAGAACCUGGUCUUUGCCUUCCCUUAAGGGACAUCUGGGAACACUAGAUUGGGAAGAAAGAACCAACAGGUGGCUGGCCUCAUGGGUAGGGGGAAGGCGGAGAUAACUGAGAGAGGGUCACAGCGAUGAGGGCACACAGACUGCUGGGCCAGACAAGCUUAGUUCAUUCCCAAUGGUGGCCAUUGGCGACCUGUCUUCACUCACACAACCCCCAAACUUGACCCUCGGCAUUGAGUGGGUCCAACCACAAAGCAUGGAAGAGCUUCUCUGAAGCCAUAGCAGGCUUGUUCACCUACAAGGAAUCCUCAGAGAGAAGAUCCCUGCAUCUCCCAGAUCUUCCCAUCCUUCCUGCAUCCUCCUUUGACUAUUGGCAAAGUUGGCUAACCAGAUACCAUCACUAUGAGAAAAGGGAGACCCUGGUCAGAGCGAGUCCAUGUCCCAGAAUUCCAUGGAUCUGGGUGACAAUCCUGUUUAUGAGCUUGGGAAAUAUUCAUUCCUCAUGGCUCAUGUUUCUUUGUGGAAGACGGAAUCUCCAUUUCCAUGAGUGAAGAUAUAGAGAAAGCCCACUCUCCUCUUUUCCUCCUCCCCCCUCGUGUCCACCGUGGAAGAUGAAUGAUCUAACCUUUUGGUAGAUUGGAAGCUCACACUGGUCUUUCUAGGUUAGCCUGAGCUCAGAAUAUCUAUUCUCCGAGGUAAGCUUACAGGAGUCAGCUCUGCCCUGGCAGAAGGAUCCCAUAGACACCCACCUCUGCGCAGGAAAUACAUAGCUCUUCAUGCUUCACAACGUGGCUUCAGCAAGUGAACCCAGAAGCCUAAACUCUAUGCAUUAUUUUUCCAUUAGUUUUAAGCUUUGAUCCUAUAUGGAAGACGGUGAGAGUUAACCUAUCUGUUCUUCUGAGUUUGAGCACCUGGCCCCAGCUAUUGGAACUGUUUGGGGAGAAUGUGAAGUCCUUAAGCGGUGGGGUCUGGGUAGUGGUAGAGGGUCACUGGGGGCAGGCUCUUGGAGGGAUAGCCCAGGCCCAAUUCCAGUCUAGCAAUCUUGGCUUCCUGAUACUCUGUAAUGCAAGUAGCAUCUCACACACACCCCUCUCCCAUGGUACAUUGAAGCCUCCACAAACCAUUUGCCCAAAUGAACCUUUCUUCCCCUAGGUUGCUUCUGCCACAAGGUUGAAAAAGGCGAUUAAGUUUCAACAUGCCAACCUAUGAAAUCAAGAUCUCUAAUGAACCUGGCUUGGCAUUUUCCAGGCUCUUAUCCUGGAAGUCUUAUGGAAAUCUCUUGGACAAAUGGGUACAUCUUUUAGCUCUGCAAUUGGAAGGAUCCUCCUUGUGUGAUGAAAUUGUCCCAGCAAGACCUUGGUUCCAGACAUGAAACCUGUUCAUCAAGAUCUUCCUACUCAUUUAGUUUCUCCCAGGGAAUGGGAGAGAUUAAAUUAGCUGGAACCUUCACUUUGGGCCCCCACACCCUCACAGCAUCUCUAGACACCUAGAGAGUUUUCUCUCCCAGAGGCCUCUGCAGUGUUCACCUACUUCACUUGUGCUUCUGCUUGCAUAAAGAUGAAUUCCCACUUCCUUGCAAAGGCCCUCUGGAGUCUUGCUAAGUUUUCCUGGUGAGAAAUAAAAAUCAAUAAGACGGU
ensembl:antisense Gm29530 predicted gene 29530